AAGAAUUGUGGCUUCAUAACAAAAUGC
rnacentral:piRNA from 1 species